AUGUCACUCAAGUGUUUCUUGCUCACCCUCUCUUUAUUUUCAAACCAUCCAUUAAACCGUCAGAUCAUUACAUUACUGUCCUCCUUGAAUGUCCCGGAUGCUAUCUUUUGGCAAAUGCAGAAAGACAUGCUGUCUAAUCUCAACAAUAUUUUGACAGAUACUGAUGUUGCUUUUGACGUUGUAUCCACCUCUUGUGCUGAUGAAGGAAACACCACAACACUGAUGUUGAGUGCUGGCAUUUUACCUGGAACUGAGCCGCACCUGAAAGCAUUGUUGUUGGCUAUAAGGUCCACACAACUACUGGGUUUGUUGGAAAAAUCAAGGAUUUUUGUCCCCAAGGCAAGGUGGUUGAUGGGUUGCCUUGAUGAACUUGGGAUCCUUGAGCAAGGACAGUGCUUUAUUCGGGCCUCAUCUCCAGUACUCAAUAAUUCUCUGGUGAAGCAUGGACCAAGAUUUUCCUCAGCAAACAGCAAUGCAGAGACCAUCGUAGGUACUGUUGUAAUGGCAAAGAAUCCAUGCCUUCACCCAAGGGACGUCCAGAUCCUUGAAGCCAUUGAUGUACCUGCUUUGCAUCACCUUGUUGAUUGCUUGGUCUUUCCUAAGAAUGGUGAGAGGCCACAUGCCAAUGAGGCAUCUCGGAGUGAUCUUGAUGGGGAUCUAUACUUUGUGACAUAG
rnacentral:rRNA from 1 species